rnacentral:lncRNA from 1 species
AUGGGAGUGUUGGCUUGGGAAGCUCAGGGACAUGAGGCAGCUCUGGCUUUGGGAUUGUUGGCAACUCGGGUUUCGGUAGAGCUGGGACAUGGGGAAGUUCCACCUUAGGUAGUUCGGGUUUUGGUAGAGCUGGGACAUGGGGAAGUUCCACCUUAGGCAAUUCAGGUUUUGGUAGUGCUGGGACAUGGGGAAGUUCCACCUUAGGCAAUUCGGGUUUUGGAAGUUCCACGGGUUUUGGAAGUUCCACCUUGGGCAAUUCGGGUUUUGGAAGUUCUACGGGUUUUGGAAGUUCCACCUUAGGCAAUUCAG